rnacentral:lncRNA from 1 species
AUGAAAGUGAAAAUUGAAAGUGAAAUCAUUCAGUUGUGUACGACUGUUAGUGACUCCACGGACUGUAGCCCAUCAGGCUCCUCCAUCCAUGGGAUUUUCCAGGCUAGAGUACUGGAGUCGGGUGCCAUUGCCUUCUUCGAUCCCUCUGCUAGAACGAAGAGCUGGAGGUGUGAAGGAAGUGAGACUUCCUUGGGGAGAGGAGCUGGAAGAGCUCCAGAGGAGCUGGGGAGUCCAGACAGCAAGGGGCCUGCACCAGGGUCAAGGCAGCAGCCAGCCGGAGAAAUGGCAAAGGAGCUGGAUGUAUGGUUUGUGCUCAGGGUGAGGCCACUGAGCCACAGACACGUCACACGAGGUGACUAAAUGUGGGGUAGAGGAAGUAGCAGACGGAGCUAAAGGACGGAGAAUGCGGAAUGAAACAGGGCACCGUGAGAAAUUCAAGUUAGCCUAGCCGAGAAAGUACCUGGUUCUGCCAGAGACCUGCUGGUGACUGGUUCCCGCUCAGCGCUGACGGAUAUUAGCGCGACAACCUUCACCUUACGGGACACCACCGUGAGCGAGUCUGAGUUUUUCUAUCCUGACUGGUUUCACUCCCGGCCUGCACCUACGCAUCCGUCUUCAGCGGCAGAAUAGAACAGUAAAAAGAACAUCAGCCUCUCCACAGGUGUCUCGGUCAGCCGCCUUCUUCAUCCGUCCUCACUUGCUGCGCAUCUGCUGCGUGCCUAUGCGACUCCAAGGGUGCGUUACGAAACGGGCUCCAGAGGUCAAGGGCAAAACGUCAGCGAAGGCUUCAGAGAAGCAGACCAGCGGUACUUGGGAGUCCCCAGGCCAGAGUUCCCGGCCUGAAAGAUGUCUGCAGACAGGCACACGGUGUGGACUUCUGAAGAAGGGUAGCCUGCUUCUAUGCAUGGAAAAUGGGGUUUACACUUUCAUACACCUGACGGUACAACAAUUUACACGAGCGAGAGGCAACUACUUCUUUCCCUCGGACUUGUCAAGCUGGAAAGUCAAAUAGAUAAAAUAUCUAAGUGGUAAAUCAAAUUCUUUUAAAAUAAAGUGUCGCAGGGUUUUUUUGUUUUCUUUUUGCGUUGGGGCGGGGCGGGGUUGGGAUGUCGCGCUGCGCAGCUUGAGAGAUUUUAAUUGCCAGGCCAGGAAUCAAAUCCCAGGCCCUGGCAGUGAAAGCACUUUCACAUCUUAAAUGCAGACAAAGCAUAAUCAAAACUAGCUACGUGAUGGCAAAGCUUGUUAGGUUACCUGCAUUCACGUAACUUUCACAGACACAAAAUCAAUCUCAUGCCCAUAUCUUUAUCAGUGCUUUUUUAAAAAAUACUUACUCAUAUGCCUUAGCUUGGUUUACAGAUGUAAACCCGACCAAAACGGCUACGGUCCAGAUGUACAACUUAGAGCCCUAGAAGAGUGAAGAAUUUUGGACCCCAUGUGGAAGAAUUUUCCCAGUUUCCCCUGCUCACUCAAUUUCUUUUUUUUUUUUUUUCCCCUCAUAUUUUACUGACUGAUUUGAGAUAAAUCAGUACAGUCCCUGCAUCCCAGGCUCUGGACUGUCAGAGUGUCUCUUGCUGUACCCCCUCCAAGCCCACCCAAGACUCGGGGAGGCCAGGAUCAUCACUCAGUCCUGUCAUUCUUCACCAGGUGGACUUUGGUCCCUGCCUCAGCUAACGUUAGAGUAUCCUCUGACUUCCUUGGGGAGACAAUAAACAAAUCCACUGCAACACAGUUAACACCAAAGAGGCAGCUGGGCUGGGUGAUAAGCUCCACAGGAAGUUGUCUCAUGUGGAUCGUAUUUCUUUUGGGUUACAUUUAAUGCUAACUUGUCAAUAGGGCUUGAGAGCUUUAUUAGUUUCAUCUUGUUUCAAUUAACGAUAAAGUUAUCCUCUUGUUGAUGCUUAAAUUGUUGCUGCUGGUCAGUAGAAGCCCCUUUAAAAUUGGCCCCUUUAUCCUUUCAGCACUGCCCUGACAAUUUGAAAGCACACUUGUUUCCUGGUAGAAACUCACACUUCAGGCCUAUCUUUAAUUUUUCCUAGAUAAAGAAUAAUUUUGGACCUCACUUGGAAGAAUUCUUGAAAGAAUCAAGUUCAGAAAAGUUUUUGUUUUUUGUUUUAGUAAAAAAUAAAAGAAUCAAAUAUGGGUGCCAGGACACAAUGCAUGGGACCAAAGGUUGGCUCCCCCACGUCUGAGGUUCCCUAGGAAAAUCCUUUAAAGGAUGUAAACGUACACUGAGAGCUCUAUUUAAUUGUAGCUUUGCUGGAUCUUUACUUCCCCCCCCCUCCCCAAAUAAGCCUCAAUCAAACAUACGCAACAUUAAUACUCUACAAAAUUAUUUACCUAAAUCUCUCACUCAAAAGUUUGCUUUUAUUUUUUAAACUUUUAUUAAGAAAUUUAAAAUAGACAGAAUGGUGUUAAGAAGUCCCAAGUACUCAUCACUCAGCUUCAACACUUUUCUCUCUUUCACCAUUUCUAUUUUAUCUCUACAUUCACCAGUUCCCACCCCACUGGCUCCUUUAUUUAUAUUCCUCAUAGAUCUCGUGAUAUAUCCUUCUAUAGUUACUCUAUUGAUCAUCUCCCUUUCCCUCUGGUUAUUCUGUUACUGUAUAAAACUUCAGGGUUAGGAAAUAAUAUUAAUAGCUACAAAUCUUGUGAAUUGAAUCCUUACAUGGACAAAAAACUGUUCUAGAUGCUGGGCAUACAUUGAUUCUUUGCACUCUUGCAACAAACCUAUGGUGUGCCACUGUUAAAGGGAAACUUCAUUCAUUCAUUCAUUCAUUUACACUGCAGUGAAAAAGACAGGCCAGUGAAACAGACUUGCCCUCCUGAUGUUUACCUUCUAAUAGGCAAUUAAAACAAACAAAUAAGCGGACAGAAAAGUACUCUUAGAGAGUGAUACAGACUGUGAGAAAAUUAAUGAGGGUUAUCUGACAGAGUGGUAGGCAGAGGACAGUAUUAGAGAGAUAGUCCAGGAAAGAUACAUCACAAGAGGUGACAAUGAGCUGAGUCAGAAAGAUAAGAAACAGCCACCUUACAAAUAUCUUGGAGAAAAGGACUUUGGGAAAGGGGGCAGCAGGUUCAAAGGCCCUGAAGUAGGCAUAAAUUUGGUGUAUUUAAGGAUGGGGAAAAAUCCAAGGCCUCCUUACCAAACCUUAGAGGUUAAAGAGCCACAGCUAUACCCCCAAGGCUCUGCAUUCUGAUGACUGCAUCCACACCAUUUGCUGGUUUUGUUUGCAGAUGGGUAGAAAAAUGACUGGAGGACACAGGAUUUUAUGUGUUUGAGGACUCCCAGGCAAAUGAAGAACACAGUAGGAAUUUUUAACACAAUGUGGAGUUUUUAGGAUGAACACACAGGUUCAUUCAGAAAAUUUCAAAUAAAAAAUAAACAUCAGCUCUAAGUCCUAGCUGUGUGACCUCACCAGUGCCCCCCUCACCUCAUCGUGAAUUGAGGGUUCAGAUAAAGUCUGUAAUUAUCAUUUAAAAUGUUUUAGAGAAUAUCAUCAGUGGCUUAGAUGUGUAGGAUGAUGUCUUUAGGUGGCUUUAACUCACAUAAGAACCAAUGAAAGGGAUUGUUCUGGUUGUUUCAAAAUUUUCUAGCUUUAUAACAAAAACAACAUUUUAAUUGAAUUUAAAACCGUGAGAAAAACUAGACUUUAACAUUUGUAACUAUAAUACAAUGAAUAUUAAUUACAAAAGAAGUAUAUAUUCCUUUCCAUUUUCAAAAGCCUUCCACUGCCCUUAGACACUGAAUAUCUCAAAUGACAGCAGAAAGCGUUUCCCAAAAUAGGCAGUGAUUUUAAUCCAAUUGGUCCUGACACAGACUAGAGGAGCAGGUCAUUCUGGGUCAUCUUUUUUGGCCACUAUUCCUUUUCCAGGGAGUCCUCCAUAAUUAGCUUGCUCUAGUUGACAUUUUGUCUUC